AGUGAACGCUGGCGGUAGGCCUAACACAUGCAAGUCGAACGGCAGCACAGUAAGAGCUUGCUCUUACGGGUGGCGAGUGGCGGACGGGUGAGGAAUACAUCGGAAUCUACUUUUUCGUGGGGGAUAACGUAGGGAAACUUACGCUAAUACCGCAUACGACCUACGGGUGAAAGCAGGGGAUCUUCGGACCUUGCGCGAUUGAAUGAGCCGAUGUCGGAUUAGCUAGUUGGCGGGGUAAGGGCCCACCAAGGCGACGAUCCGUAGCUGGUCUGAGAGGAUGAUCAGCCACACUGGAACUGAGACACGGUCCAGACUCCUACGGGAGGCAGCAGUGGGGAAUAUUGGACAAUGGGCGCAAGCCUGAUCCAGCCAUACCGCGUGGGUGAAGAAGGCCUUCGGGUUGUAAAUCCCUUUUGUUGGGAAAGAAAAGCAGCAGGUUAAUACCCCGCUGUUCUGACGGUACCCAAAGAAUAAGCACCGGCUAACUUCGUG
rnacentral:rRNA from 1 species